ACAAAAACACUCCCAAACAACAAACCAAAACAAAAACAAACACCACUCCCAAACAAAAACAAAAAAACAAACACAAACAAACGCCCUCUAAUGGCGACCGAAGCGGCCCCAACUACUCCACAACCAGCUAAUAACCACAAAGCAAAGACUACCUCCUUGCAAGACUAGACUAGCUCCUUGCGCCUCCGUCAGCAGCGCGUCAAAGGAAUCGAUCAACAUGUCUCCCGUCCUGCCACAUCAGUCAAAAAAAGCAAAAACGUGAGAAGUGUUUAAUGUGAAGUGUAUUUUUUUCUUUUCUCUUUUUUAUUUACCAAUAUGGCUUAUAUUUGUUCUGUGUGUGAUAUUCCGUUUUAUACAUUCGGAAUAAAAAGUUUUAAAAGAAUCCA